rnacentral:rRNA from 1 species
UACGUAGGUGGCGAGCGUUGUUCGGAAUUACUGGGCGUAAAGCGCACGUAGGCGGAUAUUUAAGUCAGGGGUGAAAUCCCAGAGCUCAACUCUGGAACUGCCUUUGAUACUGGGUAUCUAGAGUAUGGAAGAGGUGAGUGGAAUUCCGAGUGUAGAGGUGAAAUUCGUAGAUAUUCGGAGGAACACCAGUGGCGAAGGCGGCUCACUGGUCCAUUACUGACGCUGAGGUGCGAAAGCGUGGGGAGCAAACAGG